AAGUCGUAACAAGGUUUCCGUAGGUGAACCUGCGGAAGGAUCAUUAACACUUUUAAUCAUCCGAAUGGGAAUUUUUACCAUUCACUAUUCUACCCACCUUUUUUGGACGAAUUUCUUUGGAAAAACAAAGAAAAGAAUUUGCAAGCUUUUCGCAAGCAAAGCUCUUUUUUUUUGCUUUUUUCAAUUUUUUUCAUUUUCAACUUUUUUUAACCCCAACCACUUUAUUACUAUACCAAUGACUGACAUGGCGAAGAUUAUUCCAUUCUUUGGAGUUUUCUUGCUUUUUACAAAAAACGCUAAGAAACAACUCUUAACAACGGAUAUCUUGGCUCUC
rnacentral:misc_RNA from 1 species